rnacentral:misc_RNA from 1 species
AAGUCGUAACAAGGUUUCCGUAGGUGAACCUGCGGAAGGAUCAUUAACGAAUAACUAUGGUGUUGGUUGUAGCUGGCUCCUCGGAGCAUUGUGCACGCCCGCCAUUUUUAUCUAUCCACCUGUGCACCGACUGUAGGUCUGGAUAACUAUCGUCUCUUCACAGAGGCGGAUGCGAGGGUUGGCUUCGGUCUUUCUUCGAAUUUCCAGGUCUAUGUCUUUUUACACACCCCAGUAGUAUGACGUUGAAUGUAGUCGAAUGGGCCUUUGUAGCCUAUAAAACACUAUACAACUUUCAGCAACGGAUCUCUUGGCUCUC